rnacentral:rRNA from 1 species
CCUACGGGAGGCAGCAGUGAGGAAUAUUGGUCAAUGGUCGGGAGACUGAACCAGCCAAGCCGCGUGAGGGAUGAAGGUACAGAGUAUCGUAAACCUCUUUUGUCAGGGAACAAAGGCGGGGACGUGUCCCCGGAUGAGUGUACCUGAAGAAAAAGCAUCGGCUAACUCCGUGCCAGCAGCCGCGGUAAUACGGAGGAUGCGAGGGUUAUCCGGAUUUAUUGGGUUAAAAGGGUGCGCAGGCGGUCUGUUAAGUCAGCGGUCAAAGCCCGGGGCUCAACCCCGGCCCGCCGUUGAAACUGGCAGUCGCGAGUUGGAGAGAAGUAUGCGGAAUGCGCGGUGUAGCGGUGAAAUGCAUAGAUAUCGCGCAGAACUCCGAUUGCGAAGGCAGCAUGCCGGCUCCACACUGACGCUGAGGCACGAAAGCGUGGGUAUCGAACAGGAUUAGAUACCAUUGUAGUC